AGUAGAAUUGCUGGGUCACGUGGUAAUUGUUUAACUUUUUGAGGAAAGGCAAAAGUGUUUUCCAAAGUGGCUGUAUCAUUUUGCAUUCCCACCAGCAAU
rnacentral:pre_miRNA from 1 species